rnacentral:rRNA from 1 species
UACGAGGGGUGCAAGCGUUGCUCGGAAUUACUGGGCGUAAAGGGCGUGUAGGCGGUCUGGCGAGUCGGUCGUGAAAUCCCUCGGCUCAACUGAGGACCGUCGAUCGAUACUGCCGUUCUUGAGGAUUGCAGAGGAGACUGGAAUUCCAGGUGUAGCGGUGAAAUGCGUAGAUAUCUGGAGGAACACCGGUGGCGAAGGCGACAUCCUGGACCGGCAUUGACGCUGAGGCGCGAAAGCCAGGGGAGCAAACGGG